AUUGAACGCUGGCGGCAGGCCUAACACAUGCAAGUCGAGCGAGCGGCGGACGGGUGAGUAAUGUCUGGGAAACUGCCUGAUGGAGGGGGAUAACUACUGGAAACGGUAGCUAAUACCGCAUACCAUCAGAUGUACCCAGAUGGGAUUAGCUUGUAGGUGGGGUAACGGCUCACCUAGGCGACGAUCCCUAGCUGGUCUGAGAGGAUGACCAGCCACACUGGAACUGAGACACGGCCCAGACUCCUACGGGAGGCAGCAGUGGGGAAUAUUGCACAAGGGGCGCAAGCCUGAUGCAGCCAUGCCGCGUGUAUGAAGAAGGCCUUCGGGUUGUAAAGUACUUUCAGCGGGGAGGCGUUACCCGCAGAAGAAGCACCGGCUAACUCCGUGCCAGCAGCCGCGGUAAUAC
rnacentral:rRNA from 1 species